rnacentral:miRNA from 1 species
AGAGGAUGGGGAUUUGGCGAAGU